GAUGAACGCUGGCGGCGUGCCUAAUACAUGCAAGUCGAGCGAAUGGAUUAAGAGCUUGCUCUUAUGAAGUUAGCGGCGGACGGGUGAGUAACACGUGGGUAACCUGCCCAUAAGACUGGGAUAACUCCGGGAAACCGGGGCUAAUACCGGCUAACAUUUUGAACCGCAUGGUCCGAAAUUGAAAGGCGGCUUCGGCUGUCACUUAUGGAUGGACCCGCGUCGCAUUAGCUAGUUGGUGAGGCAACGGCUCACCAAGGCAACGAUGCGUAGCCGACCUGAGAGGGUGAUCGGCCACACUGGGACUGAGACACGGCCCAGACUCCUACGGGAGGCAGCAGUAGGGAAUCUUCCGCAAUGGACGAAAGUCUGACGGAGCAACGCCGCGUGAGUGAUGAAGGCUUUCAGGUCGUAAAACUCUGUUGUUAGGGAAGAACAAGUGCUAGUUGAAUAAGCUGGCACCUUGACGGUACCUAACCAGAAAGCCACGGCUAACUACGUGCCAGCCGCCGCCGUAA
rnacentral:rRNA from 1 species